CCCAGGGCUAACGCCCUGGGCUAUAACUAUGUCAGCCCUUCGGGCUU
rnacentral:sRNA from 1 species